AGGAGCUCAUGAAGGUGAUAAGGAGGUCAUGAAGGUGAUAAGGAGCAGAUAGAGGUGAUAAGGAGGUCGUGAAGGUGAUAAGGGGCUCAUAAAGGUGAUAAGGAGGUCAUAAAGGUGAUAAGGAGGUCAUGAAGGUGAUAAGGAGGUCAUAAAGGUGAUAUGGAGCUGAUAAGGAUGAUAAGGAGGCCAUAAAGAUGAUAAGGAGCUCAUAAAGAUGAUAUGGAGCUGAUAAGGAUGAUAAGGAGGUCAUAAAGAUGAUAAGGAGCUGAUAAGGAUGAUAAGGAGGUCAUAAAGAUGCUAAGGAGGUCAUGAAGAUGAUAAGGAGGUCAUGAAGGUGAUAUGGAGCUGAUAAGGAUGAUAAGGAGGCCAUAAAGGUGAUAAGGAGCUCAUAAAGGUGAUAUGGAGCUGAUAAGGAUGAUAAGGAGGUCAUAAAGGUGAUAAGGAGGUUAUAAGGAUGAUAAGGAGGUCAUGAAGCUGAUAAGGAGCUGAUAGAGGGGAUAAGGAGGUCGUGAAGGUGAUAAGGAGGUCAUGAAGGUGAUAAGGAGGUCAUAAAGGUGAUAAGGAGGUCAUGAAGAUGAUAAGGAGCUCAUAGAUGUGAUAAGGAGGCCAUAAAGUUGAUAAGAAUGUCAUAAAGAUGAUAAGGAGGCCAUAAAGAUGAUAAGGAGGCCAUAAAGAUGAUAAGGAGCUGAUAGAUGUGAUAAGGAGGUCAUAAAGAUGAUAAGGAGGCCAUAAAGAUGAUAAGGAGCUCAUAGAUGUGAUAAGGAGGCCAUAAAGAUGAUAAGGAGGCCAUAAAGAUGAUAAGGAGGCCAUGAAGAUGAUAAGGAGCUCAUAGAUGUGAUAAGGAGGCCAUAAAGAUGAUAAGGAGCUC